ACUCUGCUCUGCUGCGGCCUUGUCGAUCGCCGCCCUGAAUUCACUCAUCUUGCGGUUGAGAGCCGUGUCCUUCGCUCGCACGAGUCUCUCAGAUUGCUUCAGGUUGGAGAUGGUCUCUUUAAGGGUUGUGUCGUACAACUCAACGACGUAGUUCAUGCUCCCAUCGCUCUGCACAAACAAAGGGGAGGAUCAGAAAUAUGAAUAUAGAGAAGGCGAGACAAGGAGAGUAAUCCUUACCAAAACCUUGCUCCUCGCUUCAUCAACAUAUGCGUCUUUGAAGAUGAGAUCUUUAACUGGAGGCAUAUCCUUGGCGCCACCUCGAAUUUAUCGAAUAAGCUCAGCACAUUCCGAUAGAGCGUAAGAAAGUGGAGUGUCGCCGUCA
rnacentral:lncRNA from 1 species